rnacentral:lncRNA from 1 species
AGUCUGAGUUCAACCAGACCAGGAACAAGACUGGACUAAAAACAGUCAAUGGCACAGCUGGGCUAGUGGAUAAGACAGUACGAGAGAAUUCCAGCGAUCCUGUACUUUGUGUAACCAUCCUGCCCUGGCCCCCAGCUACCAUCACCCCUUAAGCCAGACCUGAGAAUCUGCAGAAACAAAUUCAAGCUGGCUUGAAUUUGUUGUUCCUUGAGGAACCACAAAAUAGUGCAUCUGGUGAAGGGAUCUGGACAGACGGACGUCCUAGGAUUAGGAGAGAAGAAAGGUCUCCACUGAAGCAGUCAGCGAGCUCCCUCCAGGACACAAGAGUUUUGCAUUCUGGAGGAGUUCCAGAGUACACCAGCCUGCCAUAGCAGUCAAGGUGGCAGGAGCUUGCAGCAGUCUGUCCCAUUGUAUCCAGCCAGGAAGAAGAAAGCUAUGAAUGUUCAAGGUGACCCCAAAGGUUGUGAACCCUGCUUCACUCCUCAACUGCCCUUUCAUGAGGUCGUGAAAGGCAGCUUCUCGGCAUCGAGACAUGGAGUCGGAUAGAAAGCCUGCCACCUGGAAGGAACACCAUUGAUGUCAUGACCAUUUCCUGAGUUCCAGUUGAGGCCCU